rnacentral:tRNA from 1 species
GCCGUGGUCGCAUAAUCUGGUAUUGCGCAAGCCUGGAAAGCUUGUCCCAUAAGGGAUUCCCGGUUCAAAUCCGGGCCACGGCG